CCGGACUCCUUCAGCGCGCUGCCUGCCUGCCCAGGGCCUUCCCGGAGAGCAGGUGACGGCGGCCUCCGGGCAUGGAGCUCGCGCUGACGAAAGGUUCUGGAAGCCGCCGUAAAAAGUAAUCAAGAAACGGGUGACAGGACUUUUCCCCUUUGAGGAACCGUUUGAGGUGUGGCACGAUACAGCAAGUCAGCUGCCAAAGAGGGGCUUAGCCACAGGAAGUGCGUGCCCAGAACGGUAAAGGGGCUGUGGCCUUUCUUAUCAUCUCCACUCCCUGUCCCCCCCAUCACCUGCUCUUCGUGCUUUGUGAUAAUUCAGUGAGCUCAUACUCAUGACCUGUGUCCUCCAGCAUCUCCCGUGUCCCUCACAGCAGUUCUAUGAGGCUGGCUGCCCUGUUUGACAACUGAGGCCCGCAUCUUCCCCGGAAUCACCGACGUGUGGCUCUGAGCCCUGUCCCAGGGAUUUUCUCCAUCAGAGAAGAGGAGCACUUUGAGCUUUGAGAGGAGCAGCCCUCUGCAAGUGAAGUGGAAAAAAAGGAAGCAGGCGAGGAGGCCCAUCCAGACCCUCCCCCAAGACCCUUGCUGAAAUGGCUGGGAUGCGGCGUGCAGAAGCUCUCCUUUCCUUCACAGCCCCUGGCUUUCCAAGAGUCCCUGCCCACCCAGAUGCCCGCUGGCAGAUGCAGCCUCAUCUCAAGGACACUGCUUGCUGGAUAAAUCCCUCACCACCCUAGAGACAGCCCACGGUCCUGAGACAAGGAUGCGGGCCAGGCUUGUUGCACGUAAGCGCCUCCCGCAGAAACCAGUGAGGCCGGAGUUCCAGAGGAAAUGAUGUAGGGACAGAGGCAGAGGGCCUCCAGGAGGCACCAGCCCCAGAGUCUUCCCUAGAAUCAGACUUUAAGCACAAGCAGGGAGGGAAAGCACUUGAGCAGUGCCCGUCCCUGCAUACCUGGCCUCUGCUGGAACCCAUGCAGGGACAGGACACUUCUUUAUCAGCAAUCCUGUUCCUCUCCUGGGCAGCUUCAACCUGAACAUCCUCCUUCACCUUGAGCUAAAAUGGGUUUCUUGUCACCCUUGCCCAUCAAACCUGGCCUUGCCCUCAGGAACCACACAGGACAAGCCUAAUACUUCCUUCUUGUGGCAACACUUUAGCAAUUGAGACCUGGCUGUCAGGUCCUCCAAAUAAACAUUUGUGACUGUGAUGUUGACUUGCCGCUUCUGGGGACCUCUUCUCAUUUGAUCGGAGAA
rnacentral:lncRNA from 10 species